AUAUCUCUGUAGAGUCUGCAUAUCAAUAAGCGGAGGAAAAGAAACUAACUAGGAUUCCCUCAGUAACGGCGAGUGAAGCGGGAAGAGCUCAAAUUUGAAAUCUUCAAGGUUCUACCUUGACGAAUUGUAGUUUAAAGUAAGUGUUUUCUGUUGGAGUUUUGGUAAAAGUUCUUUGGAAUAGGACAUCAUAGAGGGUGAGAAUCCCGUAUUUGACCAUUAUUUCCAGCUUUGUGAUACACUUUCAAAGAGUCGGAUUGUUUGGGAACGCAGUCCAAAAUGGGUGGUAAAUUUCAUCUAAAGCUAAAUAUUGGCGAGAGACCGAUAGCGAACAAGUAUCGUGAGGGAAAGAUGAAAAGAACUUUGAAAAGAGAGUUAAACAGUACGUGAAAUUGUCAAAAGGGAAGCGUUUGACACCAGUGUUGUUUUUCCGAAAAUCAAUUACGAAUGGCUUGAUUCUGUGUUGUAUUGACCUUAUCAGCUUUCUUCACUUUUUUCGAGUCUUUCUUAAUGCACUUUUCGGUUAACAAGUCAACAUCAAUUUCUUUUGUUGUAAAAGAGUAUUCGGAAGGUGGCUUUCUUUUCGGAGAAAGUGUUUAUAGCCCUAUACUUCUACAAUCGGAGAGAUUGAGGUCUGCAGCGUAGAUCCUUCGGGGUUAGAUACACUUGUGCUAAGUUGUAGCUUUUCAUAGACAACUUGUUGACUAUGUUUAGUCAUGCGGCUUACUCGCUUGUGCUAUUUUACCUACGCUUAGGAUGUUGAAGAUGUAGCACAUCAU
rnacentral:rRNA from 1 species